CGGGGUCAAGGGCCUACCCCAGGGCCAGUCCUAUGGUUAGAGAAGGGGAGGAUCACACUUUAAGAUGCCAGCCCCAGUUCAACCCCAGGACCAUCAUGUGAAAUGGAAAAUCUCCAAAACGAGAAUCAGAUCCCGCACUCUCUCUUACCGUCUGUGAACGUACAAUAUCACAAGCGCACGGGGCGAAGCUACGGGAACCAGUUACUGCCCGCCGCGUUACCCUGGGGCUGCAGAUACGAACAUCCGCCUUCCGUGAGUUCAGUGGGAG
rnacentral:lncRNA from 1 species